CCUACGGGAGGCUGCAGUGGGGAAUAUUGGACAAUGGGGGCAACCCUGAUCCAGCCAUGCCGCGUGUGUGAAGAAGGCCCUCGGGUUGUAAAGCACUUUCAGUGAGGAAGAACGCCUGGUGGUUAAUACCCAUCAGGAAAGACAUCACUCACAGAAGAAGCACCGGCUAACUCCGUGCCAGCAGCCGCGGUAAUACGGAGGGUGCGAGCGUUAAUCGGAAUUACUGGGCGUAAAGCGCGCGUAGGUGGCUUGAUAAGCCGGUUGUGAAAGCCCGGGCUCAACCUGGGAACGGCAUCCGGAACUGUCAAGCUAGAGUGCAGGAGAGGAAGGUAGAAUUCCCGGUGUAGCGGUGAAAUGCGUAGAGAUCGGGAGGAAUACCAGUGGCGAAGGCGGCCUUCUGGACUGACACUGACACUGAGGUGCGAAAGCGUGGGUAGCAAACAGGAUUAGAUACCCCAGUAGUC
rnacentral:rRNA from 1 species